CAGCUAUUGGGGACUAGCUUGGAAAUGUGUAAGAGCCUCUGGGUGUCUGUGCCUGGUGUCCUGCCUUUAUGUAGAGCCUUUUAGGGUUGUUCUGGAGGCAGUUUCAUAACACAGCUUUCUUUGUCAUCCCUCGGUCCCUGCUGACUGAUCCAUGUCCUGCUAAAGGCAGAGAAAGAGGAAAAAAAUGCUGGCAGGACUGCAGAGGAGGCAAACCACAGGGAAUGUGGCAUGAGCAGGGCAUGCAGCCUGGAGCUGGUGGCUCUGGAGCAUCCGGGCUGUUUGCAAAAUCAAUCGGAAUUGGGAAAGCAGAACAGGGCGGGGAGGGAGCAGCUGCCAGAGGGCAGAGCCUGGGUAAAGAGGAGUCAGAAACUUGCCUGUUAGUCACUGGUCCCGAAGCAAAGGUUCCUGAUGAUGGGAAUCAAGCACGAGCUCCACUGCACUGCAAGGUGAAGCCCAGAGAUGGCUGAGGUGUACAGAGCCCAGAGGUUUUGGUCAUGGAAGAGGCCAGCCUGACCUUCUCACAUGUGGCAGAAGGAUGCUAAGACAUGGAUAUGAAGCAUUCACCAAACAAAAAUCCCCAGAAGCAGCCAUGCCACACAGCCAUGGUGACCAGGUAAUGCUCACAAGCAGCCCUAACCUCACGUUUAAGGCACAAGAAGAGCCCCAACACACCCAGCAGCUUCACUGUAGGCCCUCCCUGCCUCUGUCCAGUCUGUUAAUAAAGGAAAAAAAACCAAGAAACCCAAAGAAAGACAAACCCAAGCAUUCCUGCUCUGUUGGUUAUUUAGAUGGCAAUGAAUGCUUCACCAGGGAGAAUACUGCAGCCUUUCAGGAAGGGGAGUACUGUAUGUAUUUUAAAAAUCCAAUUAACUGCCUCCACAUACAAAGCAAGCCUAUGAAAGGUGGAGGAACAGGGAAUUGGAACCAUAUUCCAAGUGCCAGCCUGUCUGCUGGGUGCUGAGCAAAACCACAGGGAGGCCUGGAGUGCUGCAGAGUACAGGGGGACUUAACCCUGGAGGUGCCAUGCAAGCUGCAGCCAUGGCUUUGCCUGGCCACAGAAUAUUCCAGCUGUCCCACAUUCCCUCCUCUGCUGCUGUCCCAGCUUGGUCCCUUGCUGUUAAAAGUCUCUGUCUCAUUCAAAACAAUUUCUUCACACAAAGUUGGCUUUUUUUCCUGCCCUUGUCUAUCAAAAAAAGAGAAAGGCUCCCCUGGCCAGUGGUGCAGGAGAUGCAGCAUUAACAGCCUUAAACAUGCUCAGCAGUUUGUUUUCUUUUAAUAUUUAAAUCCUUCCAGGUUCAUUUCAUUCUGUCCUAUUUGUGACCAGCUGCCACCUCUGAGUCUGUGAUGGGCUCCAACAAAACAGGGACAAUUCCUGGGAAGCCACAGGCAGGGCAGGUCAAGAUAUCACUGAUUUAGUUCUAGAAGGAUUUGGUAUUUCCUUAAUAACCACCACACAACUCCCCAGUUCCCUGACCACACAAGUCUGGUGUUUUGCUGACCCACUUGGCUUUGUAAAAAGCCAUGCCUGAACUGUUAUAAAAAAUUUAAUGCUUCCAUUAGUGUGCUGAAUUCACACUGAGGGAGCUUUUAACAACUUUUACAUGCAUCACAAACAGUCAGGAAUAAUCAUAUUGACUCAUGGAAUCAAGACGUGGCUUGGUUGGGAGGGACCUUAAAGCUCAUCCCAUUGCACUCCCUGCCAUGGGCAGGGACACCUUCCACUGUCCCAGGCUGCUCCAAGCCCUGUCCAGCCUGGCCUUGGGCACUGCCAGGGAUGGGGACAGCCACAAAAUGUCCCAUGUUCCUCCCUCUUCUAAUUCUGCAUGAGGCACCUCAGAGAUUCUGAAUGGCAGAUGCUUUUCCACAGAAAUAAUUUAAAGACUAAGCAGUACAUUAAGGAAAAAACAGACAAUUCUCUGGAGCUACUGAACACACAAGAGCACACCUUCCCCAAAUCUCAUCUGCACUGGUCAGUCUAGGAGAAGACAUUACAUCCCAACACUACUUCUGGAGGUCACUGGCCAUAAAAUACUGGGAUUUGUGUUUAAAAGCCUUCUAAGCCACACUUGGUGUGCAGAAAAGUACCAGCAGAGACACAACAGGGAGUAAGUAAAAGCCCAGCCUGGUAUUUCUGAAGUGGAAACUUUUAGCAUUACAUGCUGCAAGCUCUGGCUGCCUGCUGGGAGGAGAGGGAAGGGGGAAAAGGGAGUUUUGAUCUGUAAAAGCAGUGUGUGAGUGGGUGGGUUUAUCCUGGUGCUGCACACACUGGCAAGGUGCCUCCUUUCACAGAGCUGCCACGUCCCACCAAGGGAACAGUAGCUCUCUCAGAGGCAGGAAUGCUGUAAUUUAGGAGGGCAUGUGCUGGGAAGGAAUGUUUGGAGGGGGAAAGCAGUCAUCUAUUAAAAAAAUGAAGUGAGCAUUUUUUGGU